GAUGAACGCUGGCGGCGUGCCUAAUACAUGCAAGUCGAGCGAACGGACGAGAAGCUUGCUUCUCUGAUGUUAGCGGCGGACGGGUGAGUAACACGUGGAUAACCUACCUAUAAGACUGGGAUAACUUCGUGAAACCGGAGCUAAUACCGGAUGAUAUUUUGAACCGCAUGGUUCAAAAGUGAAAGACGGUCUUGCUGUCACUUAUAGAUGGAUCCGCGCUGCAUUAGCUAGUUGGUAAGGUAACGGCUUACCAAGGCAAAGAUGCAUAGCCGACCUGAGAGGGGUAUCGGCCCAACGAGAACUGAGACACUGUCAGAGUCCGACAGGAGGCAGCAGUAGGGAAUCUACCGCUAUGGGCGAAAGCCUGACGGAGCAACGCCGCGUGAGUGAUGAAGGUCUUCGGAUCGUAAAACUCUGUUAUUAGGGAAGAACAUAUGUGUAAGUAACUGUGCACAUCUUGACGGUACCUAAUCAGAAAGCCACGGCUAACUACGUG
rnacentral:rRNA from 1 species